UGACAAUGGAAAUUAAACACACUCAGAAAAUGGCAAAACUCUCAAUCUAAUAGGAAAUACCCAUCCAAAUGAGGCUCAAUGUUGAAAUAACAACCUAUCUGAGUCUCAAUCUAUGUCUCUUUUAAAAUUCUAAUAAGUAUACUUAGAGGUUUGAUCUUGGACAUUUUUACUUCUUAAACUGCACUGAAAUACAUGUUUCCUCACCUCUCUGCAUUUCUCUUUUAAGUGGCUAAUACACUAGGUUUGAUUUCUUCCACCUUUCUUUACAAGAGCCACAGCUUAUAAUCUGUAGAUAACGGUGGCAUAAAACUCGAAAACCCAGGGUUAAGUCAUCCAGUUGUCUUUGUUCUGUCACUAAAAAUGUCUUUACUGCAUAUAUGUGACAGACAAUAGGCUUGGCAAUUUAGAUUAACAGAUAAGUAAUACAGGAUGAUGACUACCCUCCAUGGAUUCAAAGAAUGGCAUUUAAGACAUGAUUGUGAUUAAUUAAACACUAGCAUGCUCAGUGCAGCCAAGAGGAAGAACUGAAAGCUAAUGAAGAGGGAAAUUGGGAGGCAGUAGAAACUGCCACUUUGUGACAACAUCUGUGGCUCCUGGGAGCUUAAACAACAUCAGAUUUUCCUUUCCUCUUCUGCAAAAUUGAGACAAUUUUAAUAGUUGUCACAUAGGAAACUGCAAAGAUGAAAUAAAAUAAAGUUUGCAAAUUACUGGCUGAGAAUCUGAACAUGGCUGGACUGCAGUGCUGCUGUCAUACCUCACUACAUCCUCGAACUCCUGGGCCCAAGUGAUCCUCCCACCUUGGCCUCCCAAAUAGCUGAGACUAUAGGUGUGCACUACCACACCUGGCUAAUUUUUUAUUUUUUGGUAGAGAUGGUGUCUCCUUCUGUUGACCAGGCUGGUAAAUCCUGGCCUCAAGCAAUCUUCCUGCCUUGGCCUUCCAAAGUACUGGCAUUAUAGACCUGAGCCACCACGCC
rnacentral:lncRNA from 10 species